rnacentral:lncRNA from 1 species
GGCAAUCCACUAAUCAGGUAUGUGUUACAUAUGCACUUGAAACCUACAAGUGACUAACAAUACACUGACUUAGCUCACACUAAGAUUCACUCUCUUAGUCUUCUCUAGGAUCCGAUCAACCUUGAUCUCCUAAAGGCAAACUAUACAACUGUAUAUGAAGUUCUUGUUUACACAGAAAGUGCUUCUAAAAAGCUUAUAGUAAACACAAUGAAAUUCAAGAUGAAAGAAAGCUUAGAAGGAUUUGAAUAUUUCUUGCGCGUGUGGGAAUGCUUCUAACCGCUUCUUUCAAUCUUCAGCCUCUAUUUAUACUCCAAGGAUUAGGGUUGAACGUUGCAUGGAAAUGCUACCGUUGGAGGGCAGUUCUGGAAAUUCCAGCUUCGGCUGUGGCUGAGGAUGUUAGGUAGGUCGUCAGGAUAGUACACUUUGCUUUUGUACUUUGGAUAGUGACUUGACCUUAACCUCGUAGACUUCUGAUCAAAGGAGCGCUUCGUAUUGGAACUUGUGAAGCUGAUUGAUCAGAGUCAGAGGGAAGCUUGGAUCCUCUGACCGUUGUACCUUCUGAUCUUCACUUCAGAGGAUCAGUACAUGGUCUUCAGAGCCAGUUGCUUCUGGACUUCAGAGUCUUCACUCUUCAGAGUCUGGAUCGUCAGAGUCUUCUACACCAUUAGAGCUUCUGAGCCUUCAGAGUCUUUUGGUUGUCAGAUCUUCUGGAUCAUCAGAGCUUCAAGUGAGUUGAGUCCUUAUCAGAGCUUGAUUUACUUCAGAUCUUCUGAAGCUUUUCCACUGUUCAGAGUGAACAUGGAGAAUGCGAAAGCGUUGCUUGGGUCACUCUUUAAGCACAGUGCUUCUGAUUUGUGUGAGAUAAAAUAGAGGUCAGAGCCUGUAAAUAGCACACUCAGAAAAACACGUUAGAGUACCACAAUUGUUCAUAUCAAAAGGUUAACUUGUAAUCAUCAAAACAUAGAGUUGUACUACUAGAUCAAAACUUGAUCUUACAAUCUCUCCCUUUUUGAUCAUGACAAAACUAAGAUUUUUGAUGAACAAUUCUUAAACAAUAAACUGAAUUCACUCAGAGUUUAGAGAUAUAGAAUAAGACUUAUCCUGAUGUGAAUAGUUUAUCUUGCUCAUUCUGAAUUCAAGUCACUGCUUGAUUCUGAGCUUAGCUCCCCCUGAAUCUAAUACUUGAUGAAAACGUUAGUAAAGUCUAGAUUCUGAGCUAAAUUAUAUAAGAGUUCAGAGUGAAAAACUUAUGACAUAGAUGAAAUAGAAUAAUCAGAGCGCAUAAGUAAUCAGAGUCAACGGACACGGUAUCAGAGUCUUGGGUAUCAGAGUCAAACUAAGAUCAUUUCAGAAGAAGUGAAAUGUAUUCCUUGUAUUUGCCCAGUGACACAUCUAUGGUCAUAAAGGUGGAACUCUUAAAUUCUCCAAAAUAAAAAUAAAUCACACUAACACAGCUUACACAUCAAAAACUGGUUGUACUCCCCCUUUUUGUCAUAAGCAAAAAGCCUGGGGUGUGAAAAACUUAGUUUGAAGUACAAGGUACUCCCCCUUAGAGAAGGUCUAAGUUUCAAAAGAAAUAAAAACGAUGCAUGAGUCAGAGUUAGGCGAAUUAAAGAGAAGAGUUAAUGCAAAAGAAGAGCGUUUACCACCGGCCAAGGGAGUAAAGAGAAGUUUCAGUUACCAAGAACUUAACCUCGAGAAACUGUAGGAGCAUUAACUAUCAGAGAGAAAGUGAAGCCUAUAUAAAGCGAAGAAGAAAAGAGGUAAGCUUCACAACUCGAUCAAUACCAUAAUCAGAAAUGGCUUCAUACAGGGUUGCACUAGAAGAGCUCAGAAGGAAGGCCUUCGAGGAGGACAUGUUCCUUAACAUAAGGCAUCCAGGGGGUACAAGGACCAUACCGGAGCUAGCAAGGACACUGCUUGAAGAGGACCUUUGUCCAGAGCUGAAGAAUGACUUGAAGGAAUUCCUUGCCUUCGUGGAGGAAGUGCAAGAACUCAGUCAGCUUGAACUGAAGCUGCUGGAAGAAAAGGAAAUCAUAGAGAAGAAGCUCAAAACAACAGAAGAGAUUCUGGAGAGGAAUGAGCUAAACGUCAAUCUCAACAACAUCCAGUAUUCACUGGAUCGUCUGGAGAAGGAGAGGUCAGAGCAGCGCCAAGAGUGCAGAAGAAUGAGGAGGCAUCCAUUCUAGAGUGUAGGAAAGAAAAUGUAUGAUGUAAAAGCAUAAUGAUUAUGAAUAAAGAAAAUUUUGCAAACACAUGAGACAAAUAUAUAUAUAUAUAUAUGUAUGUGCAAGCAUAAGUAACAACUAACAAAGUAGAAAAGCUAAAAUAACUUAAGGAAAAUAAGCAGAAGUUAAAAUAAAACUAAGUUAAGAGGGAAAACGAAGAGAUCCUAGGACUAGGGUUUAUCAUAGCGAUGCAGAAGUUCCAUCAUCAUUUGCUUCAUGUCCAUUAGUAGAGACUCAUGAGUAUCAAGACGUUUUUCCAUGAUGUCGAGUCUGGACGUGCUUGGCUGUGUGGAACUGGAAGGUAUAGACUGAGCAGCUUGAUGAGCCGGAAUGGAAGCAGAAACAGCAAGAGUAAACACUACUGGUGCAAGUGCUUGGCAUCUAAGGGCUUCAGCUUCAGCUUCAAGUCUUUCUGCCUCUAAUCUUGCUUGUUCAGCUUGAGCUGCUGCUUGACGUGCAACUUCUUCUGCCUGCUCUUGCUUUCUUCUGGCCUCUUCAACAGCUUCAAGGAGCUUAUGUCUUUGUUGUUGUUCAUGAAGAGCCACCCUUCUUGCAAACCUCUGCUUUGCAGCCUCGAUCCUCUGAUCCCUUUCUGUAGUCAGAUGCCUCAUCAAAAUAGGAACCUGAGCUACUAGCCAAGUACUCAGACUAUUCCACUCUUCAGCAACAGAUUCAGCAUUCUCACUCAGGUCAGUGUGACCUUGCACGUUGCGUAGCAUCAAUGAAGCUUCAUGAUUAAAAACAUUAAUGCACUCAGAGAGAGAGGUUGGUUUGAGGUAAGUGUAGGGAACUAUGGAGAGGUUGGUUUCAGGAGAGGUUGGGUGAUUGCUACUGUUUGCCUCAGAAACACCUUGAGGAGAACCAAUGUUAAAAGUUUGAGCAUUUGGUUCAGAGGCUCCAAGGUUUGGGUCAGAAGUUUCAACCAGAGGAUGUGGUGAUCUAACCGAAGAGUGGUUAGACACAGAGUGUUCUGGUUCUGGUUGAAUUGGCUCUUGAUGGAUAGGGUCAGGUUGAGCUUGUUGAGCUAAAGGAUCUGCCUCAUGUUAAGGGUCAGCCAAGAUAGGUUCAUCUGGGUCAACUAGACGGUCAGGUCUAGGUCCAGGGUAUCUCCUAGGGCUUGGGACCGUGAGGUAAUAUUCUGGGAUGGCAGACACUUUUUCUUUUCUGGCCUCCAUGAAUUUACGAUGUGACUCAGAGUUGUUUGAAGGUGAGGAGUCAGCAACGUUGAUUGGGAAUGAUACAGGGGUAUAGACAGAGGAAGAAUCUGUAUCAGUGGUUCUGGCAACCAGACGUUCUGAUGCUCUGGGGACAGAGUGAUCAGACGUUCUGGGUUCAGGUUCUGGUUGGACAGGAAUUGUGAAUUCAGGUUCAGAGGGUUCAAGAAUAAUGGGUUCAGAUGUUAAUGGAUUGUAUUGAAUGGUAAUGGGUGAGGUUGGAUCAGAGGUUCCGGUAGGUUGGUUCUGAAGCAUAUUCCAGAGAGGUGCUUCAUUUGGAGAAGGUUGGAAGAAUGAAGACCUUGGGGAAUUUGGUGGAGAUUUGAUUUGAACAGCAGGUUGAGACUCUGGUAUUGUAGUGAGUUGGGUGGAUGUGCGUUUGAGGAGGGUAGAAAUGGGAAGUGCAUCAAUAGAAUUUAAAUCAUCAUCAGAUUCAAUGAUAGCAGACUUACUUGUACGCACGGCAGAGCGAGUCACUCUGGCAGAAGUCUCUCUUCUGAUAACUGCAGCAGCAGGUUCCACCCGUGUAGGCUUCACCACGAUUCUGACUUGUUUCUUCUUCUUCUUGGGAGGAGAAGGACCAUCUCCAUUAUCACCAUCAUCAGCAUCAUCUGGCUUGGUAGUAUCAUCAUGCUUCCUCUUAUCAGCCUUUUUCUUCCUCUUUAGAGGAACAUCAGAUUCCUCAGAGGAUUCUUCUAAGACCAUCUUCCUCUAAACUUUCCUUUUGGGAGGAGAGUCAAACUCUGGAGCUGGUGGCAAUCGCCUGAAGAAUUCAUCUAAAUCAAUUUCAAGGCCUUGUGCUCUUAGGUCUUCAACAUAGCACCUAAUAGCUUCUGGGUUGUCUGCCUGUGUCCACAGAGGAUAGUCAUUCAGAGGGACUCUUCUUCUUCUGACUUCAUCUGAAGUGUCUUCAUGAGCAGGGUCUAUCCUCUUCUUGACCAAUCCCAUCUUCUUCAAAGAUGUGGAUGUGAAGACAUCACUCACAAUCAUAGUUAGAUCCUUAGUGCAGCCAGCAUUGAUCAUAUCUUCCACAAGUUUGCUUUCAAUGAAAAGAUAUGACAGCAGUCUUCCAAACGGAAUGUACUUGAUAGCAGACUUGAUGGAUGCAGUAGUUCUGGACUUCCUGAUGCAUUCUUUCAGGUAAGAAAAUAAGAAGUAGGGAAGGCAUAUCUGCUUCUUAUCCUGAAUGAAGAAUAGCAUCGCCUUCUGGCAGAAGUUGAUGUAGUCAGGAGAACUACCCUUUGGCCUCUGGUUGAUACAGUUGAGCAGAAUCUUGUGCCAGAUUCUGAGCUUGGGAUGAAGAUCCAACACCUUGUAAUCGGUCUUGCCCGGUUUGUAGUUGGUGUAGAGAGCCUUGUUGGUUUCUUCCCUUGUUCUGGGUUUCAACUUAGAUUCAGCCAGUUGAAAUCUAUACCCAGUUCCAGUGUGUGCACCCAGCAGAUUCACUAUAGACUUCUCCGUGACGAUUAUCCUCCUUCCAGCUAUGUACGAAACCACCUGAGUGUCAUCACACUCAGCGUCUUUCCAGAAUUCCUUGACCAAUUUGUCAUAAAUUGGUCCUCUUAGCAUGUUGAAAUACUCUUCCCAACCCUGAGCUUGAACUUCGGGACGAAGAUCAUACCCAUUUGCAGCUAUAUUGUCCGGGUCGAAUCUCCAUUCAGCAAGCACUUGGAGUUCUUCCGGAGCAUAAACACAGUGAACGGCACAGCCCCGUUCUGCAAUCGGAAUCAUCUGCUCUUGAGCCGGAGCUUGAGUCGGAGUUUCAGGACCCAAUUGACAUGUAGCUUGCCCUACUACCAUGUGAGGAAACCUUGUUGCACCUGCAGCUGCGUUUCUGGUUUGUCUUGCCAUUUGAGCGGUUGAAGGUUUUGGGUAGAGAGGAAGGAUGAAUAUAAAGAAUUGAGAGAGAAAGAGAUCGUGGGUGAGAGGUUUUGAAAAACUGAAGAGAGAGAAUCUAAAACCUUUAGUGUAGGAGAACGUGUGUGUAUAGUGGGUUUUUAAAAGUAACCGUUGUUGAUCAAAAAGAAAUUUAAAAUCAACGGUUGAAAAUUAAAGACAUCAUAGUAACAGUAAAUACACAUAUCACACGCAGGAGAGAAGCACAUCUACACACAUUAUGACAGACUGUCACACGGGCACAAGGAACUAUGCAUCAGAGAUACUGACACACGUUUACUGUCUCAGUUUCAGAGUCAGCACCAAUGGGUACAUACACUCUGAUAGAGUUACCUUCUGGACUAGACAUCUUCUGAUCAAGAAGUAUCAUAGUCAGAGGUUCUGAUCCAUCUUCAUUCUGGACAAAAGUCCAUAUUCAGAUUUUUCAGAAUAAAAUUAAAUCUAUCCUCUGCUAAGGGCUUUGUAAAGAUAUCUGCCCAUUGAUGGUCAGUAUCAACAAACUUCAGAAGAAGUACGCCCUUCUGUACAUAAUCUCUAAUAAAGUGAUACUUUACCUCAAUGUGCUUUGCCCUUGAAUGUAAGAUAGGAUUCUUACUCAAUGAUAUUGCAGCAGUGUUAUCACAAUAGAUUGGGAUAUUGCUCUCAAGGAUCUGAUAAUCCUCCAGCUGAUGUUUCAUCCAAAGCAUCUAAGUGCUGCAUAUUGCUGCUGAGAUAUAUUCUGCCUCUGCAGUAGAUAGUGCAAUGGUUGAUUGCCUCUUGCUUGCCCAUGAGACUAAGUUACUUCCCAGAAAUUGACAGUUUCCAGAAGUACUUUUUCUCUCUGUUCUAUCUCCAGCAUAAUCAGCAUCACAAUAACCUGAAAGCUUAUACUCUGAUGUCUUCUUAUACAUCAAGCCAAGGUCAGUGGUGCCUUUCAGAUACCUUAGGAUCCUCUUAACAGCAGUUAAGUGGGUUUCCCUUGGAUCUGAUUGGAAACGAGCACAUAAAUGAACACUAAACAGUAUAUCUGGCCUAGAUGUAGUUAAGUAUAGAAGUGAACCUAUCAUACCACGAUAGAGCUUCUGACAAACUUUACCACUUGCAUCUUCUUUCUCCAUAAUGCAUGUAGGAUGCAUUGGAGUCUUAGCAACUGUAGAUUCCAGCAUAUUGAACUUCUUCAGAAGUUCUUUUGUGUACUUGCUCUGAUGGAUAUAUGUUCCUUCUGGUGUUUGAUCAACUUGAAUUCCCAGAAAGUAUUUGAGUUCUCCCAUCAUACUCAUCUCAAAUUCAGCCUGCAUCAUCUCAGAAAAUUCUUUGCAUAGAGAUUGAUUAGCAGAACCAAAUAUAAUAUCAUCAACAUAAAUUUGCACAAUUAAGAUAUCAUCUUUAUAAGUUUUGCAAAAGAGAGUUGUAUCUACUUUACCCCUUACAAACUCAUUCUCCAGAAGGAAUGAGCUGAGUCUCUCAUACCAUGCUCUAGGAGCUUGCUUCAGACCAUAGAGUGAUUUCUUCAGUUUGAACACAUGGUCUGGGUUCUUCUCAUCUUCAAAACCUGGGGGUUGAUGAACAUAGACUUCCUCUGAAAUGUAACCAUUUAGGAAGGCACUCUUCACAUCCAUCUGAUGAAGAACUAUGUUGUGAUUCACUGAGAAAGAGAUCAGCAGUCUGAUUGCUUCUAGUCUAGCUACUGGAGCAAAUGUUUCAGUGUAGUCAAUUCCUUCCUGCUGACUGUAGCCUUGAGCAACUAGCCUUGCCUUGUUUCUGACUACAUCUCCUUUCUCAUUCAACUUGUUUCUGAACACCCAUUUGGUUCCAAUCACAUGAACACUUUCAGGCUUCUUCACUAAGCUCCAAACAACAUUCUUGGAAAAUUGAUUCAAUUCUUCUUCCAUGGCCAGAAUCCAAUCCUUGUCCUGAAGAGCUUCAUCUAUGGACUUGGGUUCAAUUAAGGACACCAAUCCUUUCAGACUGAGCAAGGUCUCUUCAGAGGGUCUGAACGCUGAUCUGGUUCUGACUGGUUCAUCUUUGUUGCCCAGAAUCAAUUCCUUAGGAUGUGAUGCAAUGAUUCUACUUUUCUUCUAAGGUUGUGAAUCAGAGGGACCAGCUUCUUCUUCUGGAUCAUCUUCCUCUGGCUCAGCUUCCUCUGGAGCUUUGCCUUUGUCAGAAACAUUAAUACUUAAAUCUGCAAAUUUCUCAACUAGCUUUGACUGAUCAGAGUCAAGCUUAUCAUCAAAUCUAACAUGAAUAGACACUUCAAUAGUCUUAGCAUCAGUAUUAUAAAAUCUAAAACCUUUAGAUCUUUCAGAGUAACCAAGUAAUAGACAUUUAGAUGAUUUAGCAUCAAAUUUCUGCAAUCUAUCCUUAGUAUUAAGAACAUAACAAACACAACCAAAAGGAUGCAAGUAAGAAAUGUUGGGUUUAAUGUUCUUCCACAAUUCAUAAGGAGUCUUAUUCAGAAUUGGUCUCACAGAGAUUUUGUUCUGAAUGUAACAUGCUGUAUUUACUGCCUCUGCCCAAAAGUGCUUAGCCAUGCCAGUUUCUUGGAGCAUGGUUCUAGCCAUCUCCUGAAGAGUUCUGUUCUUCCUCUCAACAACACCAUUUUGUUGAGGAGUUAUGGGACAAGAGAAAUCAUGUGCAAUUCCAUAGGAAUCAAACAGACUCUCAAACUUGUCAUUCUCAAACUCUCCACCAUGGUCACUUCUGACACGCACAAUCCUACAAGCCUUCUCGUUUUGCACUUGGGCUAUGAAGGUAGAGAACACAGCAUGAGACUCAUCCUUGCGGGUUAGAAACUUCACCCAUGUCCAGCGGCUAUAGUCGUCAACGAUGACCAUCCCAUAUCUCUUGCCACCUAUAGACUCAGUUUUCACUGGUCCAAACAGGUCGAUAUGCAGAAGUUCCAACGGCCUUGAGGUUGAGACAACAUUCUUUGCCUUGAAAGGGACUUUAGUGAAUUUGCCUUUCUGACAUGCUUCACAAAGAGCGUCUGAAGAGAACUUCAGAGUGGGUAAGCCCCUGACAAGGUUUAGCUUACUCAGCUGAGAAAUCUUUCUCAUACUGGCAUGCCCUAACCGUCUAUGCCAUACCCAUUGCUCUUCAUUAACAGACAGAAGGCACUUCACAUUCUGAGCCUCCAACUCAGAUAAUCUGAUCUUAUAAAUGUUGUUCUUCCUCUUGCUGUUAAACAGAACAGAGCCAUUGAUCUGACUUACAGCCCUGCAAGACUUUUGAUUGAAAAUAACAUCAUAACCCUUGUCAGCUAAUUGACUUAUAGACAAUAAGUUAUGAGUUAAGCCGUCUACCAAUAGAACAUUAUCAAUGCAUGGACUACUAUCCACACAAAUAGUACCAGUACCAACAAUUUUACCCUUUUCAUUUCCUCCAAAGCCAACUUCGCCUCCAGGCUUAAGUUUUAGCUCUUGGAACAUACGCCUUUCUCCCGUCAUGUGACACGAGCAUCCACUGUCCAGAUACCAUGAUUGGUGUUUCAGUGGAGCUAUCAAGGAUAUCUGCAACAUAGAUAAUCUUGUCCUUAGGUACCCACUUUCUGGGUCCUCUCUUGUUAGUUACCCCAGAGGUUCUGAUCACCUUGGGUUUCUCAACAUGAUAAUGUAAAGGAAUUUUUGCAUGAUAUUUAGACAUAGAGAAAGAUCCCUUUUUGAGAGGGGGUUUAGCAACUUCAGCAGGUAAAGGAUCAGGCAAUAUGGUACCAGAGGGAACAAAGCAUUCAUAUAAAGAUUUAGCUUUAGACACAGAGGGCUCAUUUCUAAUUGGUUUAGAAUAGCCAAUGCCAUGCAUUCCAUUUCUGCUUACGCCAUAGAUCAUUGAAGCCAUUAGGCUUCUAUCUACGCUCUUAGCCAGGAAUCUUUGAAAAGACUUUUCAUACUUAGAUUCAUUUCUACAAUCAGAGGCAUCAAAAGCAACUAUUUCUUCUAACUUAGCAAUCUGGUUCUUAAGCACAGAGUUAGAAUUGAUCAAAGCAUGAUUAUCAUUUUUCAAAUCUGAAAUAAUUUUCUCAUGUUCAGAAGGAGUCUUUGAAGCAGCAGAUAAGUCCUUUUUCAACCUUUUAUGCUUAGACAAUAAAGAGUUAUACUUAUCCAUGAUAUCAGACAAAGCAUGUUUCAGUUCAGAGGUAGAGAAUGAAGCGAAUACCUCAUUUUCAUCGUCUGAAUUAGGAUCUCCUUCUGAUUCUGAGUCAGAGUCAACAGCUUCCUUUGACUCUACUCCUUUGUCUUUGACAAUAGCCAUGAGUCCUUGGACUUCACCAUCAGAGUCAACAUCCUCUGAUUCUGAUUCAUCAAAUGUCACCAUCAGACUCUUCUUCGUCUUGAAGUGCUUCUUUGGCUUCUUGUCCUUCUUCAACUUUGGACAAUCACUUUUGUAGUGCCCUGAUUCUUUGCACUCAAAGCAUGUGACUUCCUUAAUUGAUGACUUCUUCUGGCCUGAAGAUUCAGACUUUCAUUUUGCCUUUCCAGAGCCUUUGAACUUGCUCUGCAUGUGCUUCCAGAUGCGGUUGAGUCUCUUGGAGAUCAGAGUCAGCUCAUCUUCAUCAGAAUCUUCUGAUGCGUCUUCAGAUUCUUCUGCUUCAGCUUGGAGAGCCUUUGACUUUUCAGCCUUAGCCUUUUCAGAUUUGGAUUUCAAGGCUAUAGACUUUUUCCUCAGAUCUUGCAUCUCAGAACGCUUCAGCUCAUGGCAUUUCAGAAUGCUAAUGAGUUCUUCUACACUCAUAUGCUCGACAUCUCUUGUGAGCUCUAUUGAUGUCACUAAAGGCAUCCAGCUUUCAGGAAGACACCUGAUGACCCUUAUGACAUGAUCUUUUGUUGUGUAGCUCUUAUUGAGAGGUCGUAUUCCCGCUACAAGCAACUGAAAUCUGGAGAACAUUUCUUCAAUGGACUUAUUUGGCUCCAUGAUGAAGGAUUCAUACUUUUGGAACAAAGACAAUGCCUUUGAUUCUUUAACUUUCUUGUUUCCUUCAUGAGACAUCUUUAGAGAUUCAAAAAUGCCUUUUGCAAACUCACGAUCUGUAAUCUUCUGGUACUCUUCAUAAGAAAUAGCACUUAGAAGAAUUGCUCUGUAAGACCCAAGUUUUUAAGCUUAGAAUAAGUGGAAGAGAUUUCCAUUUACGAUUAGGCUUGACGUAUCGUGAAGGAAAAACCUGAACAAGAGUUUAUCGAAAGGAAUAAAUUUAUGAAGGAGAAAGUUCAGGAAAAGUCUAAGGAUUUCAUCAAAGUCGAUAAAAGGUAUAGCACGAUCGAUAUACGCUUAAACCUAGGGCAGAAACCCUAGUAAAUAGCUAGUUUACACUUAAAGUCGCGAUGGAAGCUAAUUCCAAAAAUCUUCAGAGAAAUGUUAGAACUUCUCUUAAUCCUUAUAUGGCAAUCGUUUCAAGGCGAAACCCUUGAAUCUACGAACGUCCGAUUCCAAUCCUCGGAAGUUUGCCGAAACUAGAACCCUGAUAGUUCAAGAACCCUAGAAUCAACCGACGAUGAAGACUUUUUCUAUUCGGAGCUUCAAAUGAAGAUUCCACACGCGUACACCCAUUUCUCUUGAUGAUUUCAAUCUUUCUUCAGAAGGAAGUUUUCUAUUCCGACAUCGACUGCAAAAAGUAACUUAUCGGGUAAAAUAGUUUUACACCGACUUUGUAUUAGUUACCAAAAAUACAAGGAAACCUCUUUUGAGUUUUGGAUUUAUGUCGCCAAAACCUAUCUUAGAAUUCACGGUGAAUGAAGCCGGAAAAAAUCAGAUUCGCGAAACUUUCAUUUUACCGCGUUUUUUCAUCCUCUAUAUAGCAAGCCUCGAAAACCAAAAAUCAUACUGAUAUUUCUUUGAAGAAUUAGAAGAUUCAGCGGGGAGAAUAUCGUGUCUAGAAUACGUUGGAAUCAGUAGGAAGAAUCGGAAAUCACUCUCAUAUUUUUAUCUUAACUCUAUGAGCUAAAUCCUCUGAUAUCUAAACAAAUCUGUACCGGUUUACAAAAUAUCUAUUCAUCUUUAUCCAAUCUUUGAUAAAUAUCUAUUCAUCUUUAUCCAAUCUUUGAUAAAUAUCUAUUCAUCCUCAUCCAAUCUUUACAAAAUAUCUUCCAUUUCAUUCACUAUAUAUAGGUUGUUGUAGCUUGAAAAAUGAAAAACAAAAACCUCACAAACACACACACACAACCCGCGGCUUGGAGAGAAGAAGGAGGAGGAGAGCUUUUCGCUGAUUCUUGUCUGAUCGUCCCACAGUUCGUUGCUACGCGUAGGCCUCAAGGUACUGACGCUUUUCCUUACUUAUGAUCGUAAAUUAUGUAGCUUUUCUCUAUACUUUUCUGUGCUCUUAGUUUUGAGGUUUUUGCAAAACUAUCUAGAUAACUUCAUCUUUCUAUCUAAACUUAUUCCCUGCGUGCCCCUGAGCAUGUUUAGCAGAUUACAUUUCGCUGAUUCUCGCCGAAAUGCCGCCGAGUUUCAAUUCUGCUCAUAAUACCCAUUUUUGGCUAAAGUUCCAACCUUUGGGCUUAAAACCCUCGACUGAGCUUAGCGUUAGUAAGAUUAGUCGUCAUAAUCGUCGUUAGUAUCAACCCCAUCUAAUUUGUUUUUCGAAAUUCUGAUUUUGAAAUUCUGAGCUGAAAAUAAUGACCAAAAUACCCCUGCGACAGUUUUCGAUCCGAUAAUUUUUCCGAGUUUAGAAUACCCUUAGUUACGACUAAUGAUAACCUAGGAACCAAGUUUGAUCGAAGAAAAAUCGACCCACCUAAUUACCAAUAGUGGCCGAGACUACCCUAGGAGGAGGAAGAAAAUUCUUUUUCGAAAACUUGUCCUUUCGCGCUAGAUUAUCGUGCCUCGGAGUAUAUACUACUUCGUGCAACCUUAGUGAGUUUUGAUAGCUUAGUUUCCGAUAGAUUUUGAUAGACUUCUGUGGUUUUACUUUAAAGGGUCAUUUGAAGAGUUUCCAGUGGAACAAGGCUUUGACUGUGAAGAAACGUUAGAAGAGGACCCUGGAGAAUCUACAGGUGAGGGCUUCUCACUGAACUAUUAGCUAAUGCUUUAGGUGUCGACGAAUUCGACUUGAUUUACUGUUUAUGCACUUGUUUGUGUUUGCCUAGAAAAAUGUUUUCUGAGGCUUCGGCUGACAAUGUAGAUCAUUCAUCUACUGACUUUUUUUUGAGUUUUGAAUCAUAUGCUAUGUGCUACAUGGUUAAUCUAGGAUGUGUGAUAUCUGCUAAUUAUGCUAAGUGCUACGUGUUUAAAUUAGGAUAUGUUGAUACAUGAUUUAUGAUUGUUGGAUUGUGCUAACUUAACUAUGCUAUUGCACAUAUAUCUGUUAUGCUUCAGAGUGAGGAUAACGGGCAUGUCAUGCCGAAUUUAUUUUGAGAUUUUGAGGAAGUUUGAUGGGACGGACCGAGGUUCGUACCCUAUUAUUGUUUUAUGGAUCGAGACCUUCUCAAAGGAAAAUUGAGUUUGAAAAUGAUAUUGGAAAAACCCCAUUUGAAUUCACGUAAGAACUUGGGUUGUUCUGUCUAAGGCAAGAAGGGCUUUUAAUGAGGCAUUGUGCCCGGCCAGCUUACCUGGGAACUUCUCGGGCCAUUACUUGGGUGAUGAUGGACCUUUUGUUCGGAGACCUUCUCCAGGGAAUCAUUGGAAUUAUAGGAUCUUGGAAACUAAUAGGAUUAGAGACGAAACUUAAACAAUUUCAUAAUGAACCUCCAUAAUGUAUUAAACAACCUCUAAACCCCUUAAUAUAAUGAUAAAAGACUCAGACGAAAGUUUAGGGCUUGAACAUUAAGUUUUGAAAAUGAGAAGUGUCGUCGAGUCCAAGAGUUGAGAAAACUAAUAAGUUUCUGAGUAUGUUGAUACUCCUUCGCUCUUUGAGCAGUUUGUUUAGCCAUCCAAGGGAUGAGCCGAGAAGCUUCACUGAGGCGUGAGACCUUGUGAAAGCGUGAAUCUUCACUGAGGCGUGAGACCUUGUGAAAAGCAUAGAUCUUCACUGAGGCGUGAGACCUCGUGAACAGCAUGAAACUUCACUGAAGCGUAAGACUUCGUGCAAGUGUGUAAAUUCACUGAGGCGUGAGACCUUGUGAAAGCAUAAAACUUCACUGAAGCGUGAGACUUCGUGAUUGUAUAAGACUCCACUGAAGCGUGAGACUUCGUGAGAGCAUUGAUGACUCGAAGAGUUAUCGUGAGUGUUUGCACUCUUUUUAUGAUUAACUGUAUUUUGUCGCCGAAUCGACAUUUGCCUUAGGGUAUUCUUUUUAGAGACUAUAAGUUAGCUAGAACACGUGGCGACGUGUCGAGUGAGGUCGGAGACGUUGUUUGACUAAUCACUUUGCAUUCAUGCACACAUUUUGAGGUUAAUACACGGCGUGAUACCGGACCUCGGUGGAUUCCAAAAUGGUCAUAAGACCCGGAUUUCCAUAUAAGAACAUUGCGGUGAUUCUUAGUAGCAGACGAAAAUGGCAGACCUUCGGGUUCACUACUGAUCUGACUACACUUUGUGUGGUGUAAGAGACACGCGAGCGGAAAUGGUCCCACCGUUGCCGGUGCUAGGAUUGACUCGUUAGUGCCCAUCCGUUCCGGAAUGCAUUUUGUUAACCAGCAUUGCAUUUCAUGCAACAUGCAUACUGACUUAGUUGCUGAGUGUGAUUGAUAAUUGUUAAUCCUAUUUGUUGCAUGCUAAUUGUUAUUAUCGUCCUUUAUAUUCAUUGUGAAAUAUACAACCCUAGGAUGCUAUCUCUAACUUAUAAGCCUAAGUAGCUAUCCCUUAAACUUUAUCUACUGGGUGUAUUACUUAUGUAAUUCUUUGGAGUUGACCCUCGCGUCUUCUGUGUGUGUUUUGGCGGACAAACGCCCAUUGUCAGAUGUCUUUGGCGGACCGGUUCACGAUGGUUCACCCUUCGGGGGGGACUAGAUACGAGAUGAUAGAUCAGGAUGACUCCGGCGCGUGGGUGGUCGACCCCGCUGGCCAUCGAGCGACGUACUCGGGUAGGAUCAUGGAGGAUCGUGUCGACAGCUUAGGACACUUGACGGAAGGAGUGCUGAGGACGGUGUACAUAGACUUGGUCGUUCUGGAUUCGGAUUCGGACGACGAUCACGCUAGAAUGUUGGAUUGAGUGUUAGUGUGAGCUCCUCGAGACAGGAUUAGUGUAGGAGUAGAGUCUUAGCUCUGACCGUUAUGUUUUCUUUUGGGAACAGGGUAGUUUCCCGCCGAUAGCUUUUUGUGUGGUUUCUUUACGGGAAUCACAGAGAGUUGGUUGGACUUAGGAGGUCUUGUUUUAGGCCUUUUGGGCUGCCUUAUUCUCUUUUUAAGGGAUGGUGUUGCGGACACUUGACCUUUCUUUUGGAUUGUACCUUUUUCCUACGGGCGUUACCUUCUGUUACUUCUCGUCACUGGAGGUUUACUCGUGACAUGGGUUGCUACUUACAGCGGGGGCUGUAUUUAUAUUGCAUAUUAGUUCCGUUAUCUUUCGUUGUCGAGUUUCAUUUCUUUCAGUCUUUGGUUCUAUUAUCAUCAAAAAAAAUAUAUUCACGUUUUUCCGCUUAUGUAUUUCUUUUGGUUACUAAAGUGACGCCACCGAAAUCGGGGUGUUACAUUGUGGUAUCAGAGCUUGUCGAGUCUUUCGGGAGUCUUUGGGGAAUAGGUCUUCUGUGCUAGGUUGUGUGACUCUGCAAAGAGUGAAAAUUGAUUGUCUGCAAGUGAUUUUUCGCUUAGAAUUGAUUGAAGUUAUUGCUUAAUCAUAUUGUAUAGCAUGUUAGAUGUUAUCUUAUGAUGAGUACUAACUGUUUAAUUGACUUAACAGAACCUAGAUGUUAUCCUAGAAAUGGAUUGGUUGUCUCACUAUCAUUGUCUUUUGGACGAACAAAAGCAAAGGAGCAAGUGGUCGAGCCGGACAGCAUAGAGCUGAAAGAUGAUAUGUCUAUUGAGACGCCGUCGGUCAACAUUGGGACUAGAAGAGUGAAACAAUCGAGGGGAAAGCAGAGUGCUUUAAUAGAAGUUAUUUGGAACGAAGACACGGACGGUGCUAUAUGGGAAUUAGAGAAGAAGAUCAAGGAAUAAUAUCCGGAGCUUUUACUGAACCCUAAGUUUCGAGGACGAAACUUUCUUUUUGGAGGGUAGUAAUGUAAGACCCAAGUUUUUAAGCUUAGAAUAAGUGGAAGAGAUUUCCAUUUACGAUUAGGCUUGACGUAUCGUGAAGGAAAAACCUGAACAAGAGUUUAUCGAAAGGAAUAAAUUUAUGAAGGAGAAAGUUCAGGAAAAGUCUAAGGAUUUCAUCAAAGUCGAUAAAAGGUAUAGCACGAUCGAUAUACGCUUAAACCUAGGGCAGAAACCCUAGUAAAUAGCUAGUUUACACUUAAAGUCGCGAUGGAAGCUAAUUCCAAAAAUCUUCAGAGAAAUGUUAGAACUUCUCUUAAUCCUUAUAUGGCAAUCGUUUCAAGGCGAAACCCUUGAAUCUACGAACGUCCGAUUCCAAUCCUCGGAAGUUUGCCGAAACUAGAACCCUGAUAGUUCAAGAACCCUAGAAUCAACCGACGAUGAAGACUUUUUCUAUUCGAAGCUUCAAAUGAAGAUUCCACACGCGUACACCCAUUUCUCUUGAUGAUUUCAAUCUUUCUUCAGAAGGAAGUUUUCUAUUCCGACAUCGACUGCAAAAAGUAACUUAUCGGGUAAAAUAGUUUUACACCGACUUUGUAUUAGUUACCAAAAAUACAAGGAAACCUCUUUUGAGUUUUGGAUUUAUGUCGCCAAAACCUAUCUUAGAAUUCACGGUGAAUGAAGCCGGAAAAAAUCAGAUUCGCGAAACUUUCAUUUUACCGCGUUUUUUCAUCCUCUAUAUAGCAAGCCUCGAAAACCAAAAAUCAUACUGAUAUUUCUUUGAAGAAUUAGAAGAUUCAGCGGGGAGAAUAUCGUGUCUAGAAUACGUUGGAAUCAGUAGGAAGAAUCGGAAAUCACUCUCAUAUUUUUAUCUUAACUCUAUGAGCUAAAUCCUCUGAUAUCUAAACAAAUCUGUACCGGUUUACAAAAUAUCUAUUCAUCUUUAUCCAAUCUUUGAUAAAUAUCUAUUCAUCUUUAUCCAAUCUUUGAUAAAUAUCUAUUCAUCCUCAUCCAAUCUUUACAAAAUAUCUUCCAUUUCAUUCACUAUAUAUAGGUUGUUGUAGCUUGAAAAAUGAAAAAACAAAAACCUCACAAACACACACACACAACCCGCGGCUUGGAGAGAAGAAGGAGGAGGAGAGCUUUUCGCUGAUUCUUGUCUGAUCGUCCCACAGUUCGUUGCUACGCGUAGGCCUCAAGGUACUGACGCUUUUCCUUACUUAUGAUCGUAAAUUAUGUAGCUUUUCUCUAUACUUUUCUGUGCUCUUAGUUUUGAGGUUUUUGCAAAACUAUCUAGAUAACUUCAUCUUUCUAUCUAAACUUAUUCCCUGCGUGCCCCUGAGCAUGUUUAGCGGAUUACAUUUCGCUGAUUCUCGCCGAAAUGCCGCCGAGUUUCAAUUCUGCUCAUAAUACCCAUUUUUGGCUAAAGUUCCAACCUUUGGGCUUAAAAUCCUCGACUGAGCUUAGCGUUAGUAAGAUUAGUCGUCAUAAUCGUCGUUAGUAUCAACCCCAUCUAAUUUGUUUUUCGAAAUUCUGAUUUUGAAAUUCUGAGCUGAAAAUAAUGACCAAAAUACCCCUGCGACAGUUUUCGAUCCGAUAAUUUUUCCGAGUUUAGAAUACCCUUAGUUACGACUAAUGAUAACCUAGGAACCAAGUUUGAUCGAAGAAAAAUCGACCCACCUAAUUACCAAUAGUGGCCGAGACUACCCUAGGGGGAGGAAGAAAAUUCUUUUUCGAAAACUUGUCCUUUCGCGCUAGAUUAUCGUGCCUCGGAGUAUAUACUACUUCGUGAAACCUUAGUGAGUUUUGAUAGCUUUGUUUCCGAUAGAUUUUGAUAGACUUCUGUGGUUUUACUUUAAAGGGUCAUUUGAAGAGUUUCCAGUGGAACAAGGCUUUGACUGUGAAGAAACGUUAGAAGAGGACCCUGGAGAAUCUACAGGUGAGGGCUUCUCACUGAACUAUUAGCUAAUGCUUUAGGUGUCGACGAAUUCGACUUGAUUUACUGUUUAUGCACUUGUUUCUGUUUGCCUAGAAAAAUGUUUUCUGAGGCUUCGGCUGACAAUGUAGAUCAUUCAUCUACUGACUGUUUUUUUGAGUUUUGAAUCAUAUGCUAUGUGCUACAUGGUUAAUCUAGGAUGUGUGAUAUCUGCUAAUUAUGCUAAGUGCUACGUGUUUAAAUUAGGAUAUGUUGAUACAUGAUUUAUGAUUGUUGGAUUGUGCUAACUUAACUAUGCUAUUGCACAUAUAUCUGUUAUGCUUCAGAGUGAGGAUAACGGGCAUGUCAUGCCGAAUUUAUUUUGAGAUUUUGAGGAAGUUUGAUGGGACGAACCGAGGUUCGUACCCUAUUAUUGUUUUAUGGAUCGAGACCUUCUCAAAGGAAAAUUGAGAUUGAAAAUGAUAUUGGAAAAACCCCAUUUGAAUUCACGUAAGAACUUGGGUUGUUCUGUCUAAGGCAAGAAGGGCUUUUAAUGAGGCAUUGUGCCCGGCCAGCUUACCUGGGAACUUCUCGGGCAAUUACUUGGGUGAUGAUGGACCUUUUGUUUUGAGACCUUCUCCAGGGAAUCAUUGGAAUUAUAGGAUCUUGGAAACUAAUAGGAUUAGAGACGAAACUUAAACAAUUUCAUAAUGAACCUCCAUAAUGUAUUAAACAACCUCAAAACCUCUUAAUAUAAUGAUAAAAGACUCAGACGAAAGUUUAGGGCUUGAACAUUAAGUUUUGAAAAUGAGAAGUGUCGUCGAGUCCAAGAGUUGAGAAAACUAAUAAGUUUCUGAGUAUGUUGAUACUCCUUCGCUCUUUGAGCAGUUUGUUUAGCCAUCCAAGGGAUGAGCCGAGAAGCUUCACUGAGGCGUGAGACCUUGUGAAAGCGUGAAUCUUCACUGAGGCGUGAGACCUUGUGAAAAGCAUGGAUCUUCACUGAGGCGUGAGACCUCGUCAACAGCAUGAAACUUCACUGAAGCGUAAGACUUCGUGCAAGUGUGUAAAUUUACUGAGGCGUGAGACCUUGUGAAAGCAUAAAACUUCACUGAAGCGUGAGACUUCGUGAUUGUAUAAGACUCCACUGAUGCGUGAGACUUCGUGAGAGCAUUGAUGACUCGAAGAGUUAUCGUGAGUGUUUGCACUCUUUUUAUGAUUAACUAUAUUUUGUCGCCGAAUCGACAUUUGCCUUAGGGUAUUCUUUUUAGAGACUAUAAGUUAGCUAGAACACGUGGCGACGUGUCGAGUGAGGUCGGAGACGUUGUUUGACUAAUCACUUUGCAUUCAUGCACACAUUUUGAGGUUAAUACACGGCGUGAUACCGGACCUCGGUGGAUUCCAAAAUGGUCAUAAGACCCGGAUUUCCAUAUAAGAACACUGCGGUGAUUCUUAGUAGCAGACGGAAAUGGCAGACCUUCGGGUUUACUGCUGAUCUGACUACACUUUGUGUGGUGUAAGAGACACGCGAGCGGAAAUGGUCCCACCGUUGCUGGUGCUAGGAUUGACUCGUUAGUGCCCAUCCGUUCCGGAAUGCAUUAUGUUAACCAGCAUUGCAUUUCAUGCAACAUGCAUACUGACUUAGUUGCUGAGUGUGAUUGAUAAUUAUUAAUCCUAUUUGUUGCAUGCUAAUUUUUAUUAUCGUCCUUUAUAUUCAUUGUGAAAUAUACAACCCUAGGAUGCUAUCUCUAACUUAUAAGCCUAAGUAGCUAUCCCUUAAACUUUAUCUACUGGGUGUAUUACUUAUGUAAUUCUUUGGAGUUGACCCUCGCGUCUUCUGUGUGUGUUUUGGCGGACAAACGCCCAUUGUCAGAUGUCUUUGGCGGACUGGUUCACGAUGGUUCACCCUUCGGGGGGGACUAGAUACGAGAUGAUAGAUCAGGAUGACUCCGGCGCGUGGGUGGUCGACCCCGCUGGCCAUCGCGCGACGUACUCGGGUAGGAUCAUGGAGGAUCGUGUCGACAGCUUAGGACAUUUGACGGAAGGAGUGCUGAGGACGGUGUACAUAGACUUGGUCGUUCUGGAUUCGGAUUCGGACGACGAUCACGCUAGAAUGUUGGAUUGAGUGUUAGUGUGAGCUCCUCGAGACAGGAUUAGUGUAGGAGUAGAGUCUUAGCUCUGACCGUUAUGUUUUCUUUUGGGAAGAGGGUAGUUUCCCGCCGAUAGCUUUUUGUGUGGUUUCUUUACUGGAAUCACAGAGAGUUGGUUGGACUUAGGAGGUCUUGUUUUAGGCCUUUUGGGCUGCCUUAUUCUCUUUUUAAGGGAUGGUGUUACGGACACUUGACCUUUCUUUUGGAUUGUACCUUUUGCCUACGGGCGUUACCUUCUGUUACUUCUCGUCACUGGAGGUUUACUCGUGACGUGGGUUGCUACUUACAGUGGGGGCUGUAUUUAUAUUGCAUAUUAGUUCCAUUAUCUUUCGUUGUCGAGUUUCAUUUCUUUCAGUCUUUGGUUCCAUCUUUCUGUGUUUCACUGGUAGUAGCCAUUGUUUUUCACACCGGCCUGGAUCACUGAAGACUGUUAGGUGUGGUAAUCAGAACUUGCGCUCUGAUACCAAUUGAAGGUAUGAAAAACGGUAGAAAGGGGGGGUUUGAAUAACGUUUUCAAGAUAAAACUUCCACCUUAAAGAUUUUGGCAAAUCUUUCGAAACAAACUAUGUGCUAAAGAUAAGAGAUAGAAAAGCACACAGGGAUUUUAUCCUGGUUCACUUGAUAAAUCACUCAAGCUAAUCCAGUCCACCCGUUAAGGUGAUUUCUUCCUUCUUAGAAUGAAGGCAAUCCACUAAUCAGUUAUGUGUUACAACUGCACUUGAAACCUACAAGUGACUAACAAUACACUGACUUAGCUCACACUAAGAUUCACUCUCUUAGUCUUCUCUAGGAUCCGAUCAACCUUGAUCACCUAAAGGCAAACUAUACAACUGUAUAUGAAGUUCUUGUUUACACAGAAAGUGCUUCUAAAAAGCUUAUAGUAAACACAAUGAAAUUCAAGACGAAAGAAAGCUUAGAAGGAUUUGAAUAUUUCUUGCGCGUGUGUGAAUGCUUCUAACCGCUUCUUUCAAUCUUCAGCCUCUAUUUAUACUCCAAGGAUUAGUGUUGAACGUUGCAUGGAAAUGCUACCGUUGGAGGGCAGUUCUGGAAAUUCCAGCUUCUGCUGUGGCUGAGGAUGUUAGGUAGGUCGUCAGGAUAGUACACUUUGCUUUUGUACUUUGGAUAGUGACUUGACCUUAACCACGUAGACUUCUGAUCAGAGGAGCGCUUCGUAUUGGAACUUGUGAAGCUGAUUGAUCAGAGUCAGAGGGAAGCUUGGAUCCUCUGACCGUUGUACCUUCUGAUCUUCACUUCAGAGGAUCAGUACAUGGUCUUCAGAGCCAGUUGCUUCUGGACUUCAGAGUCUUCACUCUUCAGAGUCUGGAUCGUCAGAGUCUUCUACACCAUCAGAGCUUCUGAGCCUUCAGAGUCUUUUGGUUGUCAGAUCUUCUGGAUCAUCAGAGCUUCAAGUGAGCUGAGUCCUUAUCA